AGCUGACUGGAGCAUCACGCGUGCAGGAUGAAGGCUUGCGGGUCGUAAACUGCUUUUACUAGUGACGAAUAUGACGGUAACUAGAGAAUAAGGAUCGGCUAACUACGUGCCAGCAGCCGCGGUCAUACGUAGGAUCCAAGCAUUAUCCGGAAUUACUGGGCGUAAAGAGUUGGGUAGGUGGCAUUGCAAGCAGAACAUGAAAUCGUGUGGCUCAACUAUACGGCUAUGUUCUGAACUGCAAAGCUAGAGAACAAGAGGGGUAGAUGGAAUUACUAGUGUAGGAGUGAAAUCCGUAGAUAUUAGUAGGAACACCGAUAGCGUAGGCAGUCUACUGGCUUGUUUCUGACACUAAGGCACGAAAGCGUGGGGAGCGAACGGGAUUAGAUACCCCGGUAGUCCACGCCGUAAACGAUGGAUGCUAGCUGUGAGUCGUAUCGACCCGACUCGUAGCGAAGCUAACGCGUUAAGCAUCCCGCCUGUGGAGUACGAACGCAAGUUUAAAACAUAAAGGAAUUGACGGGGACCCGCACAAGCGGUGGUGUGUGUUGUUUAAUUCGAUGCUAAACGAAGAACCUUACCCAGGCUUGACAUCCUUGGAAUUUCUGCGACAGCAGAAAGUGCUUUAUUGAGCCAAGUGACAGGUGUUGCAUGGCCGUCGUCAGCUCGUGUCGUGAGAUGUUUGGU
rnacentral:rRNA from 1 species